AGCUCCCACCUCUGAUGCUGACUUUACUAGAAACAUGCAGCAGCAACAGGUGUGACAUUCUCACUCUGCCAUUUAAAGCCUGUGCUGCUUUCCAGGACAGGUAAAGGCAGGAGGGCAGUCUGAGAUCAUGAAGAGUAACACAAAAUCCCACCUCAAGGAUGCUAAGUUUGUACCACCCUCUCUCGGACACAGCUGAGAGCUCCCCUGGGCUAUGGCUGCUGGUCAUGUUCAUCUGCACACCCCAGGUUUCCUACAGCGGGUAGGUACAGGCCCAGUCCUAGCCAUUAGCCCUGGUUCUUAUUUGGGACAAACCCCAAGCUGUUUACUCUUCUUUCCAGACACCUCCUGGGGUUAGUUCACCCCUGCAGAACAAACAUUCAAAGGAGGCAAGUUUCACUAAGAUAAUUAACCCUAGUCAUCGCAGGGUGACUCCAAAGAGAAUUUGGGCUGGUGCAUUCCGAUGCACCUUGACCGUCCCAUACCAGAAUUGUGCCAGGUGCACCUGGAAUUUUCCAAGACAAAUGUGAAUCUUAAGGGGAGUAUUUUGUCCUCUUGUGAGGAAAAGUACUUUAAAAUGUGCAAAACUGAGGAAUCAGAGCUUAAGGAAGACUCAGACCCCAUUUUGGCCAAACUUGAAAGGCUGAUCUUGUUGCUAACUUUGAUUGCGACUUGCUAUCCCACAUGAGCCUCAACCAAGAGUUCUCAUAGGUGUUGGUGAUCUUGUUUGGGAACUUGGUUUUCACAGCAGGAAUUGAUUACUUAGCAGGUGCCCUAAUUGAAGAAAACACAUUGCUCCCAAUCUCCAUUGGCUUUUAUAAAAUAUCUGGUCCUGAGCAGUUAGACAUCCUCCUUUCCAAGCUUUUUAUAGAAUACAGAUUAAUCUUUAAGCUCUGCUUCUGAUGUUGCCCUUCUUUACUGAAAACAAUUCUGAAUCAUUAGUGUAAUUAAGACAAUACCGUCUGAGGCCAUUUUUAUUUUGUAUUUGCAUAUGACACCAAAGCUGCAAAACAGGAACUAAGCAUGGUAAUAAUGCUGGUCCAAAGGUGGCCAAGUAUGAACACUUCCUUCUAGGCCUGCUGCCAGGAGGAGAGCUGGCUUAUUGAUGGGAGCAUUGUAUGCUGCUGAAACCUCCUUACUUGGGGGUUCUCCCCAGAGACAGAGAAGAAAACCUAAGGCAGGCAUUAGUCUUGGAAACCAGUACCAGCUGGUAUCUCAUGCCAAUGAAAAGCAUCCAGGACAAGCAUGUUUGCAAAAAACAAGCAUGUCCUGUCUCUUUCACAUCUUUGGCACAUCCAUGAUCACCCUGAGUCAGACCCAAAUAAGGGGCAGCAGAGACAGCCAGGUGAAGCAGCAAUGUGAGGGUAGUAACUGGUGAUGACAAAGCCCUUCUCAAUUUCACUUUACUAACUUAGCCAAGGCUUAGUUCCUGUUUUGCAGCCUGAUGGAAAUCUGAUAGAUCAUUUGAAGUAUGUAAUCACCUGACAUGCUAAGUGUCUGUGUGUGCCAGAGACACAGAAUGGCAACCUGACCCCACCCUGUCCUUGUCUAGGAAACACGCUGGAGAAGAAAGGUGGCAAGGAGUUUGUGGAAGCUGUCCUGGAACUCCGGAAAAAGAACGGGCCCUUGGAAGUAGCUGGAGCUGCUGUCAGCGCAGGCCACGGCCUGCCUGCCAAGUUUGUGAUCCACUGUAAUAGUCCAGUCUGGGGUGCAGACAAGUGUGAAGAACUUCUGGAAAAGACAGUGAAAAACUGCUUGGCCCUGGCUGAUGAUAAGAAGCUGAAAUCCAUUGCAUUUCCAUCCAUCGGCAGUGGCAGGAACGGUUUUCCAAAGCAGACAGCAGCUCAGCUGAUUCUGAAGGCCAUCUCCAGUUACUUCGUGUCCACAAUGUCCUCUUCCAUCAAAACGGUGUACUUCGUGCUUUUUGACAGCGAGAGUAUAGGCAUCUAUGUGCAGGAAAUGGCCAAGCUGGACGCCAACUAGGCUGAGCAACGACAGAACCAACUGCACCAUGUACCCCACCUCCAGUUUAAAAGAAAAAAAAAAUCCCCUUCACUCCUACUGGGAGGUGGGACCCCUUUCAUUUUCAGUUUUGCUCAUCUAGGGAAAAUAAGGCUUUGGUUUCCAGUUUAAUUGUUUUUGACCUUCUAAAAUGUUUUUAUGUUAGCACUGAUAGUUGGCAUUACUGUUGUUAAGCACUGUGUUCCAGACCGUGUCUGACUUAGUGUAAUCUAGGAGAUUUUAUAGUUUUAUUUUAAUGAAACCCUGAUUGACGCACAGCAGUGGAGAGAACAGCGUCUUUUACCUGUCACUGAAGCCAGGAAGCCCCGUUUGUAACCGUGUGUUGUGGUGCUUUAUCGUACACCCAGUGGCGUUCUUUUUACUCUAAUGUUCUUUUUGUUUCCACCCUCAGAAGAAUCAUGAAUUUGCAACAGACCUAAUUUUUGGUUACUUUUUGUCUUAUUGAUGGAUUUGAAAAUGAAAGAUUUAAUAAGGCAAAGCAGAAUCUGUUGUCCUUAAU
rnacentral:sRNA from 1 species